GUUCCUUUGAGCUUUAAAUUGUAUAAAAGUACCAAACAGCAUAACUAAUUAAGCCCAGAAGCAGGGUUUAACUAACAGGCAAUGUCCAGAACAUGAGAAAAGCAGACAUGAACUGGCAGGAGGCAGGGAAGAGCAAAUGUAUCUGGGAACCUGUUUUGGUCCUGGCCUGGCCAACCUCGUGUGUUACUUUGAGCAAGUCCUUGGCGCUCUCUUCUCCAACUUCCUCCUUUCAUUCCUUUGUUUCCUUCAAGACUCGGGUCAGACGUCACCUGAUUCUGGAGUCUUCCCUCAUCCCAGCCUGGGUAAGAACCCUGGAAGGGUGUGCCCCUCCUCUGUGCUCUCACAGAGGAGCAUUGCGCUGCAGCGCUGCAGUCGUGUCUCCCUGACUGGACUGAUGUUCUUGAGGGCAGGAACUAUGUCUGACUCACUGCUGGAUUCCCAGAAUAUGGCCCAGGGUCUAGCACGUCAAAGGUGUGUUGAAUACAUUAGAAACAUUCUGCUGGGAAGUUUGUGUCCCAUGAACAAAGGAUCAGGACAAUCUUCAUCCCAAAGGACAGAAUCUGAGCUGGGGCCUCAAAAAAGCACAUCUCAGAAUCUGCAAGGGAAGAAUGGCUCUCGGACUCCAGAUUUCUCCCCCUAACUCCAGAAUAUAGAAGAUACGGCUGCUGAGAAGGGAGCCGAGCCCUGUUUACAGCAGCUGGGAGCCAUCCUCACGUUUGAUUGCCACAAUUUUUCUCCCUAAUCAUGCCUGAAAAAUAAAUUUCUU
rnacentral:lncRNA from 1 species